rnacentral:rRNA from 1 species
UACGUAGGGUGCGAGCGUUGUCCGGAAUUAUUGGGCGUAAAGGGCUCGUAGGCGGUUUGUCGCGUCGGGAGUGAAAUCCACUGGCUUAACUGGUGGCUUGCUUUCGAUACGGGCAGACUGGAGGUAUGCAGGGGAGAACGGAAUUCCUGGUGUAGCGGUGAAAUGCGUAGAUAUCGGGAGGAACACCAGUGGCGAAGGCGGUUGCCUGGAGCUUUGCUGACGCUGAGGCGCGAAAGCGUGGGGAGCGAGUCCGG